AUUGAACGCUGGCGGCAGGCCUAACACAUGCAAGUCGAGCGGAUGAAAAGAGCUUGCUCUCUGAUUCAGCGGCGGACGGGUGAGUAAUGCCUAGGAAUCUGCCUAUUAGUGGGGGACAACGUUUCGAAAGGAACGCUAAUACCGCAUACGUCCUACGGGAGAAAGCAGGGGACCUUCGGGCCUUGCGCUAAUAGAUGAGCCUAGGUCGGAUUAGCUAGUUGGUGAGGUAAUGGCUCACCAAGGCGACGAUCCGUAACUGGUCUGAGAGGAUGAUCAGUCACACUGGAACUGAGACACGGUCCAGACUCCUACGGGAGGCAGCAGUGGGGAAUAUUGGACAAUGGGCGAAAGCCUGAUCCAGCCAUGCCGCGUGUGUGAAGAAGGUCUUCGGAUUGUAAAGCACUUUAAGUUGGGAGGAAGGGCAUUAACCUAAUACGUUAGUGUUUGACGUACCGACAG
rnacentral:rRNA from 1 species